AUCAGGAAGUGGAAGGUGAACAGUGAGUCCCAAGUUGAAGCUCUGGGCAACAAAGAGGACAGGGCAGGAGGUGCUGGGACCAAGGAGCCAAAGGAACCACGAGAGAAAGCUUCUUCCAAGAAGAGCUUUAUCUGCAAAGCUUGUGAUAAAAGCUUCCACUUCUACUGCCGCUUAAAGGUGCACGUGAAACGUUGUCAGGUGGCCAGAGGAAAGCAAAUCCCGUGUAAGGAGUGCACUGAAGUGAAAUCCACAAAGAAGGAGCUGGAGAAACAUCAGCUGGAGAUCCAUGGAGCAGUGGGGAUAGCCAAGAAAAAGACUAGGCGGCUCCCUGUGUCAUGUGACAUCUGUGGCCGAGAGUUUGCUCAUGCCUCAGGUGAUUCAGACAUCAGAGGAAGGAGCAGCAGAACACAUCAUCUCUUUUGAUGAAGCCCAUGUCACUGUCUCCCAAGUCUUUGUGACAUUGCCUGAAUCCCAGGUUAGCCAAGCUGGCUCAGAGCUGGUGACAGUGACUAUGGAGGACUUGUUUGAUGACAAAGCCACUCUGAUUUGUGAAGAAACCAAAGGAGAGUGAGCAGUGGGUGCCCACGUGUGGCACCUGGUAUCCACUGGACUAGUUCAGGAGACAUACCUAGUCAUGGUGCUCUAGCUGGGACAUUCUUGGUUUCUGUGGAAAAGCAAGUCUGGAUGGCAUGUAGCAAGCACAGCAUGGCCACAGGAAAGGUUUGUAGACUUUCAUAAGGACCUGGGAAGUCUCACUGUCCCUGCAGUCAGCAGCUGCCAGCUUGGGUGAAUGGGACCAGCCAUCAGUCCCAGCUCAUGACAAAUAAAGCAGCAGGAAGGAAGAUGGGAAAUGGGUUUUCUUCAUGUAUGGUCCUCCACUGCCCUGAGCAGGGUGGAAAGGAGGAGACUAGUGCAGCCUAAAUAAAGUUGAGGUAGGGUGGGCUUGUGAAACCAAAUAAAAAGAUGUCCUGAGAAUCUAGAGUAGAAGAAAGGGAGUUUUUUUAUGUCUGGGUCAGCGAUAUUCUCACAGAUGCCAGUUACUCUGCAGGGUGAGGAAGGGCUGCUUGUUUUGUCUGUUUCUCUUCCCUUUAUCGUCUUGCUGCCACUGAGUCAGCUGGAAAAGUCCCCUAGUGCAGAGAUGCUGUUUGGGCUUUUCUACUUGAGUGGAGUCGUCUUUGGGAAUUGGGUUAAAUGGCUCUGCAGCCAUUUAGGUAGUACCUUGUGCAGUGCAGGUCUAAUCUCAUCCACACUUCAGAGGUGACUGUGUAUUACAAAGAAGGGUCAGAGCACGGGCUGGGCAACCACAUCCUCAUUCUGAGCAGACAACAGCCCUGAGACCUUCCACCCUUUCUCUAAUUCAGGGAGGAGGUGAUGAAGAUGCUACAUCCAAGGAAGAAGAAGGUGCUGUGCCUGUAAGCUAGGGCCCCUUGUUGCUUGGGUGUUUAAUACAGUUACCAAGGGACUGUUGCUAAUGAGGUAUUUCUGUCUGAGUGACUGCAGAUAGCUGUUCUCGUGGCACACAGGACAUUGCUUUGUAAAAUGCAUUUGGAUACCUGAAGUAAAGCUUGCCUCUUUGGUGCCAGGAUGAUGUAACGAAUUUGUUGCAGCACACUGGUCCCUUUAAGAAUAAAUUUCAUAAAGCCUUUUCA